GACAGAGGAUGCAAGCGUUAUCCGGAAUGAUUGGGCGUAAAGCGUCUGUAGGUGGUUCGAAAAGUCCACUGUUAAAAAUUGAGGCUUAACUUCAAAGAUGCCGUGGAAACUUUCAAACUAGAGUAUGGUAGGGGUAGAGGGAAUUUCCAGUGGAGCGGUGAAAUGCGCAGAUAUCAGGAGGAACACCGAUGGCGAAGGCAGGUCUCUGGGCCACUACUGACGCUGAGAAGCGAAAGCAUGGGGAGCGAACAGG
rnacentral:rRNA from 1 species